GGGAGGAAUUCCUCUAGAUGGGCCAGUCCAGCCUCCCUUGCUCCAAACAGAGUUAAACAGACCAGGUUACUCAGGAUCAAAGGCUUUCCUCCAGAAAAGUGUUUGGUUUUCUGAGGAGAUUAAAAAGCAAUAAACUCCUACAAGGAAGGCCUUCAGCACUCACUACUGCCCUUGCAAAGCAGGAAGCAAGACCAGUACUUUGUUAGCAUCUGAGACAACCAUGCAUUUUAACAAAAUUCCUGAAACAAACUGUAGUAAGAUCUACAGUAAACAGGCAGCAGGCUUGAAAGAUGUCAUUAGCAAAACCACAAUCAAAUUCUACAAAAAAGCAUCAUUCCAGAUAUGUAACAACUGAAACCCAGAAGUGAAGCACAUGACACAGCUCCAGGAGAUUACAACCUCUGGCUGACACUACACAUGCAGACUGUGGGGUGUCAGUGCACUUGAGCCAGCCGAAGGACAAUAUAAACACAACUGUCUGGCCACAUAAAAUUUAUAAAUUUGUUCUCAACCAGCUAGUAGGAUGUGUUGUAAGUUCCUUUACCACACAAAAUAUUUGUCAGCAGCAAACCAUUGCAACAGUUUCCUUUCUUUUUGGUCCUCCAGUUACCUGCUUCAGGAUCACUGAAGCAUGUGUUUGCACAGCCUACAACUACUGUGAACAGCUCUGGGAACAAAGAAUUUCAAAUGCAAUUAAACUGCCAACCAAACCAAACUUACCGGCUGCACACACCAGUGCCCCACAGUAGUACCUGAGCUAUCAACAGUUAAUUAACUGGACCACUCGAAGCAAACUUGCAUUGCCUCUUUCUGAAAGCUCAGGGCUCUGUGUGGCUGAGCCUGACAGCCCCGUGCAAACCUCGGCCAACACGUGUUAUUGAGCAGCCCCCACCAGCGCCGAGUCCUCAUUGCUUUAAUUUCCAUUUGGCAGGGAGCAGGCAGUUAAUGUUUACACAGCAACGUAACCCUAUAUGACAGUGCUACUUCUAAUUAAGAUGGGUGUUCUGGAGGAACACAGUCAUGACUAUUCCAAAGGUACAAGUGUGUGCAUAUAUAUAAAUAUAUAUAUAUAUAUAUACACACACACACACAGAGAAUCUGGGCUACAGCACAGCUCUGCGUUAGCAGUUUGAAUGAUGUUUGGGAAAAGUGCUGUAGGCACACAUUUUAAAUUUAAUGCAUCUGUUUUUGCAGUGACUGCCUGGGAGCACUCCAGAACAAACCCAGCUCCAUCGGCAGCCUCCCCGAGCCUGAUCUUACAUAAUGCUGCACAGCAGAGCCAGGCAGGGAUGCUGCCUCAGCCAGGGGAGCCCCAGCAAGGAUAUUCCCCUCCUAUCAGCCAAAGCUGCUUAUUUAUAACAACACCUUCAUUUAUUGCUGAAACAAGUAGAAUGAAGUUAAACUACUGCCUUGUCAUUGACAACACAUCAGAAUUUCAUCGAUUUUUUUUUUAACACCACUGAACUCGAUUUCCUAGAAAACAAGAAAAAAACAGAACUAAUUUUUAGCAAGCUGCAGUACGGCUCCGGCAGGUGACAGUCCCUGGGCAGCAGCACCACUGGGUGACUAAGCAAACCAGUCCUAAAAGCUUUAUUUGACAACAGCAACAACAGGCUGGGAGCCGAGCUCAAGCCAAACCUGAAUUACAGCAGUAAUUUACUCGGCUAAGCCUGAAACGCCGAGCUCAGCCACCUCCAGCCGCGCCUCCCAGCGCCAUUCCGGGUGGAUGCCCGCCGCUUCCCCCCCGCUCCCGGUAACCAGGAGCCAGGUGGAUCCAGGUCACUUCUGUGGUCCCUUGCAGCCCAGAUUACUGUGUGCCGCCCUGAACUCACCCUAAGAGCUGAGGGAGCAGCCAGGUGAUGCUUGGCAGCAGACUUGGACACUAACAGAAGUUCCUCAGAGAUCCUGGUGUUGAUAACCACAUAAGCUCUUUGUUCACCAUUGAAUGAGACCUAAUUUUCAUUUUUAAUUUAUAUGUAUCUCAUAUGUAAGAGUGUGAAACCUCCAGACUACCUCUAACAUGACUUUUUGAUUGUACCACCA